UUUUAAAUAAGUAAGAGUUUGUGGUGGAUGCCUUGGGUCUGGAAGUCGAUGAAGGACGUGAUUACCUGCGAUAAGCCUCGUGGAGCUGGAUAUGAGCUACGAUACGGGGAUUUCCGAAUGGGGGAACCUAGCUAGAGUAAUGUCUAGUUGCCUUCUUCUGAAUACAUAGGAAGUCGAGCGAGAUACCAUGUGAACUGAAACAUCUUAGUAGCAUGAGGAACAGAAAAUAAAUAAUGAUUUCUUCAGUAGCGGCGAGCGAACGAGAAAGAGCCCAAACCACUUUAUAGUGGGGUUGUAGGACGAUCUACAUAGAGUUACAAAACUUAAUGAUAGCAGAAGCGCUUGGGAAGGCGUGGCAUAGAGGGUGAUACCCCCGUAAGCGAAAUCGUUAAGUCUCUUGGUCGUAUCCUGAGUAGGGCGGGGCACGUGAAACCCUGUCUGAAUCUGCCGGGACCACCCGGUAAGGCUAAAUACUAACCAGACACCGAUAGUGAACUAGUACCGUGAGGGAAAGGUGAAAAGAACCCCGAGAGGGGAGUGAAAUAGAUUCUGAAACCACUUACUUACAAUUAGUCAGAGCCCAUUUAAGGGUGAUGGCGUACAUCUUGCAGUAUGGACCGGCGAGUUAUGUUAUCAUGCGAGGUUAAGCGGAAAAAAGCGGAGCCGUAGAGAAAUCGAGUCUUAAUAGGGCGAAUUAGUAUGAUGGCAUACACCCGAAACCAGGUGAUCUAUUCAUGAGCAGGCUGAAGCUUGGGUAACACCAAGUGGAGGGCCGAACCGUAGUACGCUGAAAAGUGCCCGGAUGACUUGUGAAUAGCGGAGAAAUUCCAAUCGAACUUGGAGAUAGCUGGUUCUCCUCGAAAUAGCUUUAGGGCUAGCGUGUGAUGUUAAAUGAUGGUGGUAAAGCACUGAAUGUGGAAUGGCCGCGCCUAGCGGUACUGACUAUAAUCAAACUCUGAAUACCAUCAUGUAUUAUCAUGCAGUCGGAACCGGGGUGCUAACGUCCCGGCUCGCGAGGGAAACAACCCAGAUCGUCGGCUAAGGUCCCAAAUUCAUGUUAAGUGAGAAAGGUUGUGAGGUUUCAUAAACAACUAGGAAGUUGGCUCAGAAGCAGCCAUCUUUUAAAGAGUGCGUAAUAGCUCACUAGUCAAGAGACCUUGCGCCAAUAAUUUAACGGGACUAAAACAUGAAACCGAAGCCACGGGUACAUUUAUGUACGUUAGAGGAGCGUUCUUAGGGCGGUGAAGCUAGACCGUGAGGACUAGUGGAGCGCUAAGAAGUGAGAAUGCCGGUAUGAGUAACGAUUCGCAGUGAGAAUCUGCGACGCCUAUUGGGGAAGGUUUCCUGGGCAAGGUUCGUCCACCCAGGGUAAGUCAGGGCCUAAGGCGAGGCGGAAACGCGUAGUCGAUGGACAACAGGUUAAUAUUCCUGUACUUUCUAUGGUAGUGAUGGAGUGACGGAGAAGGAUAAACUUACCUCUUACUGGAUUGAGGGGCAAGUAGUAACUGGGAAUUGUAGGCAAAUCCGCAAUUUAUUAACCGGGAGCUACGACGCAUAGGCAAUAGCCGAAUUAGUUGAUUUCAUGCUUCCAAGAAAAGCUUCUAAACUUAAUAUCAUGGAAACCUGUACCGAGAACGGACACACGUCCCCAAGAUGAGUAUUCUAAGGCGAGCGAGAAAACUAGUGUUAAGGAACUCUGCAAAAUGACCCCGUAAGUUCGCAAGAAGGGGUGCUCACGAAAGUGAGCCACAGAAAAUUAUGAGGGGCAACUGUUUAUCAAAAACACAGCUCUCUGCUAAACCGCAAGGUGAUGUAUAGGGGGUGAAGCCUGCCCAGUGCCCGAAGGUUAAGUGGAUGCGUUAGCUUAUGCGAAGCGUUGAAAUGAAGCCCGGGUGAACGGCGGCCGUAACUAUAACGGUCCUAAGGUAGCGAAAUUCCUUGUCGGCUAAAUACUGACCUGCACGAAAGGCGCAAUGAUCUCUCAACUGUCUCAACACUAGACUCGGUGAAAUUAUGGUCCCAGUGAAAACGCUGGGUACCCGCAUCAAGACGAAAAGACCCCAUGGAGCUUUACUACAACUUCGUAUUGAAAUUUGGUCUAACAUGUGUAGGAUAGGUGGGAGACGUUGAA
rnacentral:rRNA from 1 species